AGCCCCAGCAGACACAAUACGUGAUUAUUCAGAAUGGAAAUGUGCUGACACUCGUCAUUUCGCCCUGUCUCUGUUUUGUCUGCGUUGAGGUACUCGAUGUCCGUCCUUGGCUGUCAGCAGGCAGGGUCUGGAAACAAACUGCCGACAGGAGACAACUCGCAAAACAAGAUUACAAGUUGUGUGCCUUUGCACUGAUGGAAAAGUACAACUUCAGCACAAUUGAUAAUAACUAUAGCAACUGCCUUUAAGCAUAAGAGUUGUGUGAUAACUUAUACAUAAUUAUUCUAACACACCUUCUUCUAGAAGCAGGAAGUUAGUUUGAUUGAUGACGUAGAGAAAGUAAUAAUAUGAUGUCCACUUGAAGGUCGAUCUAGAAAGUAGGAAUCUAGAGCGCUACGGUUAAGAUGUCAGGUUCAAACACCAAACUAUCUAUUACACAAGACAAGAAGCAAGGAAUCAGGCAGAGACAGAGUUCAAAUUUUCACAUGAGGAGAAACGUAUUGUGCUGCACACUCAGUUCCAGUUCCACCCUAUGCUCUAAGGUACAGUCCCACGUGCUCCUCUAUCUAUUCGGGAGGUCCCUAGUUAACAUCACUGAGGCUGCGAUGGCGUAAAGAAGGCACAAUAACAAACGCAGAAUGAAUCUGUCAUGUCUGUGUGACCGUGUUUUGUAUUAGUCAUGUUUUGUUUAGUUAUUGGACUCUUUAGUUUCUGGCUUUUCGCUCCCUUGUCUUGUUUCCAUGGUUACCCGUUAGUUUCACCUGCUCCACGUUUGGACUCAUUGUGCACUCUUGUUUGUCACCAUAGCAACCCAUUAGUUUUCACCUGUCACGUCACGCACCUGUUUUGAGUCACGCACCUGUUUUCGUUAAUCACGUCUGUAGUAUUUAAGUUCAUUGUUUUCAGUUUGUCUUCCUG